rnacentral:rRNA from 1 species
GUGAGGAAUAUUGCGCAAUGGAGGCAACUCUGACGCAGCCAUGCCGCGUGCAGGAAGAAGGCGCUACGCGUUGUAAACUGCUUUUAACCGGGAAGAAACCCCAGGACGUGUCCUGGGUUGACGGUACCGGAGGAAUAAGCACCGGCUAACUUCGUGCCAGCAGCCGCGGUAAUACGAAGGGUGCAAGCGUUAUCCGGAUUCAUGGGGUUUAAAGGGUGCGUAGGCGGAGCGUUAAGUCAGUGGUGAAAGCCUGCAGCUUAACUGUAGACUCGCCAUUGAUACUGGCGCUCUUGAGUGCGCUUGAAGUGGGCGGAAUGUGCCGUGUAGCGGUGAAAUGCUUAGAUAUGGCACAGAACACCAAUUGCGAAGGCAGCUCACUAAGGCGAUACUGACGCUGAGGCACGAAAGCGUGGGGAUCGAACAGGAUUAGAUACCCUUGUAGUCC